rnacentral:siRNA from 1 species
AGAGUGUGUGAUGAAUUGAGGGA